GACGAACGCUGGCGGCGUGCCUAAUACAUGCAAGUAGGACGCAGUUGCGAACGGGUGAGUAACGCGUAGGUAACUACCUAUUAGAGGGGGAUAACUAUUGGAAACGAUAGCUAAUACCGCAUACUAGUAGAUGGACCUGCGUUGUAUUAGCUAGUAGGUAGGGUAAUGGCCUACCUAGGCAACGAUACAUAGCCGACCUGGGAGGGUUAUCGGCCAAACUGGGACUGGGACAAGGCCCCGACUCCUUCAGGAGGCAGCAAUGGGGGAUUUUCGGGAAAGGGGGGAACCCUGGCCGGGCAACGGCGCGGUAGUGGAGAAAGGUUUCGGGUCGUAAAGCUCUGUUGUUAAGGAAGCGGUACUUAACCAGAAAGGGACGGCUAACUACGUGCCAGCAGCCGCGGUAAUAC
rnacentral:rRNA from 1 species